UACAUAGGGGGCAAGCGUUAUCCGGAAUUAUUGGGUGUAAAGGGUGCGUAGACGGAGAAACAAGUUGGUUGUGAAAUCCCUCGGCUCAACCGAGGAACUGCAACCAAAACUAUUUCCCUUGAGUGUCGGAGAGGAAAGUGGAAUUCCUAGUGUAGCGGUGAAAUGCGUAGAUAUUAGGAGGAACACCAGUGGCGAAGGCGACUUUCUGGACGAUAACUGACGUUGAGGCACGAAAGUGUGGGGAGCAGACAGG
rnacentral:rRNA from 1 species